AGAGUUGAUUAUGGCUCAGGAUGAACGCUAGCGGCAGGCCUAACACAUGCAAGUCGCGGGGCAGCACGGGUAGCAAUACCUGGUGGCGACCGGCGCACGGGUGCGUAACGCGUAUGCAACCUCGCCCCCAUCAGGGGAAUAGCCCGCCGAAAGGCGGAUUAAUGCCCCAUAGGCCCAGGGCGCCGCAUGGCGCUAUGGGUAAAGCUCCGGCGGAGUGGGGAUGGGCAUGCGUGCCAUUAGCUAGUUGGGGCGGUAACGGCGCACCAAGGCGACGAUGGCUAGGGGGUCUGAGAGGAUGGUCCCCCACACUGGUACUGAGACACGGACCAGACUCCUACGGGAGGCAGCAGUGAGGAAUAUUGGUCAAUGGGCGGAAGCCUGAACCAGCCAAGUCGCGUGAAAGGAAGAAGGAUCUAUGGCUCGUAAACUUCUUUGCAGGGGAAUAAAGUGCAGGACGUGUCCUGUUUUGUAUGUACCCUGAGAAUAAGGAUCGGCUAACUCCGUGCCAGCCGCCGC
rnacentral:rRNA from 1 species